rnacentral:snRNA from 1 species
AGCUUUGCGCAGUGGCGGUAUUAUAGCCAAUGAGGUUUACCCAACGCACGAUUAUUGCUAAUUCAAAAUUACACAGCCA